UCGCGGGGCAGCCCGCCUGGCCCGCCGGCGCAGGUGAGCCCUUUUCAUAAAGGACGCGGGAAACUGGGGCCUGUUUACCAGCUCUAUAAAUGCACGUGGAAGAGAAGAACUGGCCUUCGAGGUACAGCUGCUAGCUGAUCUCUUGUGAAAAGGAGCCUUUUGGAAAGGGCGCUUAAAGGGAAAACGUGGCCACAGGUCCUGAAGGGGCUGCUUCUCAUGGACCCCCUUUGAGUAGUGUCUCUUGAAUAGCCGUGGAAAAUGAACUUAAUAUAAAGCAGACACAGCCCUCAAGCGCUCCCUGACUCGGGACAGCAUCCCUUCUGCCUCUUGAAGCUCGUUGACUUUGGAAAUCACCCGCGGCUCUGUGGCCACCUCCCCUGUUGGCUGAAGCUUGCCUCGCCGCACGUCCCUCUUUGCGCAGGUCUGCACGCUCCGCAGAGGUAACUGAGGACUUUCCGAGUCCAGCUGACUGGAAAGAGGCGAUGGCCUAACAAAACGGCCUGGGGAAUUUCCAGCACGAUGGGAAUUUGCCAAAUAGCUCUUCUGUAGGGCUGACGAGGCCUACUAAUGUUUGCUCCUCAAAGUCAGCCAUAAUUACGAAGAUAUUUACAGAUAAUCCGAGGAAGAGGAAUAUGCCUGUGAGCCACGUUCCAGAAGCUAAUACCUGGCGGGAUGUGUAUAACAAAUUACUUGCUUCGAGUGUUACAGCUGAGCUCAUGGAUGGCAUUCUUACUGGAUUAUUAAAGGCUUCUCAGGGUGUUUGGGAAUGCCUCUGUUUCAAGUUUAAUUCCACAAGUCCCUGAGUGAACACGCUGUGGCAACUUCAAACAAAAAUCAGAUUAACCAAACCAGCCUCCUCUCCUGGGGAAGGGAAACUGCCCUUCAAAAGGUAGUGCUGGAAAAGAAAAGCUAAUGGUCUUGCCUCAUACAUCACUGGGGAAACAGAAACGACUAGAACUGGAGGUUGCUCAUCAUCUUCCCACCACCAGUUCCUCCUG
ensembl:lncRNA